ACUCUCUCUCUCUCUGUGUGCAGUGGCAAAAGAAAAACCUGCUGCUCCAUUAAUCCACAAACACUCAGUCACUCUCUCUCUCUCUGUCUCUCUCUCAUACACAGAGUGACGCAGAGUCUCUCUCUCUCUCUCUUCAUAUAAGAAGAGGUGGAAUUUAUAUAGAGAGGGGGGAGAGGGAAGUGAAAAGCUUGCUGGUGAAUUCAACAGAGUGGCUUUUGAUGCUUUAUCUGGUGGAGGAUUGUACUCCGUAGCUGAUUGUUUUGUGUGUCUAGAGGAAAAAUAUACGAGCUAUGGAUAAUGACUUGAAUAUAGUUCAGCAAGUCAGAUCAGCUCGCCUGAAGGGAAUUCAUCUCAAUAUUUUAUCUGAUGAAGAUGCUCAAUGGUAAUCACUACAGUCAAUGAAGUUUCAGAUGCUGCAUUUGGAUUACCUACUUCAAAUGCCUCAGAAUGCCUUACAUGUGGUGCCAGAAGUUCAAAGGAUUGUGAAGGGCAUUUUGGUUUGAUCAAUUUCCCGUUUACAAUUCUCAAUCCUUAUUUCAUGUCAGAAGUUGCACAAAUUCUUAAUAAAAUCUGCCCAGGAUGUAAAUCAGUUCGGCAUGCUAAGGUCAAGAAAGUGGAUUCCACAUCAAGGCAUCAUCCACCCAGAAGUUGCAGAUAUUGUGCGGGAAGACCAAAAGAUGGUUAUCCGAAGAUGAAAUUUAAAGUGUCCUCAAAAGAUGUUUUCGCGAAAACAGCAAUUAUUGCAGAAGUCAACGAAACAUUGCUGAACAAGAACUCUGUUAGAGGUCUGGCUCCUGAUUAUUGGGAUGUAAUCCCGAAAGAUUCAGCUCAAGAAUUCAGUGGCUUGCCGGCAAACAAAAGAGUGCUAUUGCCUGCUCAAGUCUAUAGCAUUUUGAAACAUGUAUGCCCAAGGGUUCUGGAAGCACUUCUCAAAAGGAAAAACUCAAUCUUUCUAAACUCUUUGCUCGUGACUCCAAAUAGUCAUCGAGUAAGAGAAUUUGGGCAGCGUAUAACUGUUGAUGAAACUACAAAGAUGUACAGAAAGCUUAUUGAUUUUAGAGGUACACCAAAUGAAUUGAGUGCCCGAGUUCUUGAUCGAUAUAAAGUUUCCAAGAUACGCUCUGAAAAGUUGUCAAGUUUAGAAAAAAUAUAUGAGAAGCAAUCAACGAAUGAUUCUGCUUCCAGUGCAUCAGGGCUGAAAAACAUAAAAGAAUUGCUACUUGGAAAGCGGACAGAUCAUUCUUUCCGCAUGGUUGUUGUUGGUGAUCCUAGAAUAAAGGUUGAUGAAAUUGGCUUGCCAUUUCAAAUUGCAGAGAAUGUGCUAAUCUCAGACCAUAUAAAUCUAUGGAAUUGGGAUAGGCUAGAACCAUGCUGUGACUUUAUGCUUUACCGCAGGGGAUACUUUUCUGUUCUAAGGAAUGGUCAGAGGAUUUGUAUUUGGUCUAAGGACAUGUUGCGGACAGGAGAUUCUAUUUGCAGGCCUCUCAUUGAUGGAGAUAUUGUUUUGAUUAAUAGGCCUCCCUCCAUACAUCAGCAUUCACUCAUUGCUUUAUCUGUCAGAAUUCUUCCUAUCAAAUCUGUUGUCUCCAUUAAUCCUCUUGUCUGUUCCCCACUCCGAGGGGACUUUGAUGGAGAUUGUCUCCAUGGUUAUGUUCCACAAUCUGUAACCUCUAGGGUUGAGCUUAAUGAGCUUGUUUCUUUAAACGAACAGUUGCACAAUGGGCAGAAUGGUCGGAACCUUUUGUCACUAAGUCAAGAUAGUCUGACUGCUGCCUAUCUGUUCCUUGAAGAUGGUGUUCUCCUGAAUAAGCCUGAGAUGCAGCAGCUGCAGAUGUUCUGUUCCUUUAUGCCAAUAUUGCCUGCUAUCAUCAAAUCUACUUCAGGGGCUGCUUGGACAGGAAAACAACUAUUUGGCCUGCUUUUACCGCCUGACUUUGAAUUUGCUUAUGCAUCUAAUGAUGUAUGUAUUAGGCAAGGAGAGCUUGUAUCAUCUUCCCAUGGAUCAGCAUGGUUAAGGGAUAGCUGCGAUAACCUCUUUCAAUGUCUGCUCAGACAUUGGCGAGACAAAGUUCUUGACUUCCUGCAUGCUGCUCAGGAAGUUCUUUGUGAGUGGCUGUCAAGGAGGGGACUAAGUGUUUCAUUGUCAGACCUUUACCUUUCUCCUGAUUCACAGUCUCGGAAGAAUAUUCUGGAUGAAAUAUACUAUGGUCUGCUUCAAGCUGAAAAAUUAUCAGAUAUCAGCUUAUUGAUGGUAGAUUGCAACCAAGAUUUUCUUGUAGAAAGCUCUGAAGAGCAUGAAAACAUGAAAAAUUUUCUGAAGGAACACAUGUCGAUUGCCCAACAGACUAAAGCAGAACUUUUUCAAGCUUCCAUUUCUGCUUCCAAGUCAGUUUUCUGGGAUAUGCAGAAUCUUGUUUACAAGUACUCUGACAAAAACAAUUCAUUUAUAGCUAUGCUAAAGGCUGGGAGCAAAGGAAACCUGCAAAAGUUAGUACAGCAUAGCAUGUGUCUGGGCUUGCAGCAUUCAUUAGCUCCCUUGUCUUUUUCAGUUCCCCGUUACCUUUCUUGUGCUUCGUGGAACAAUCAGAAGAACAAUUUCACUGUCCACAAGUUGCAUAAUCAGGAAACCACAGAUUCAUACAUUCCAUGUUCAAUUGUCGCUAACUCCUACUUAGCAGGUCUAAAUCCUCUGGAGAGUUUUGUGCUUUCGCUGACAACCCGUGACAGUUCUUUUAGUGGCCAUGCUGAUGUUUCUGGGACUCUAACCAGAAGGCUAAUGUUUUUCAUGCGAGAUCUAAUAAUUGGAUAUGAUGGAACAGUUAGAAGUUGUUAUGGAAAUCAAGUUGUUCAAUUUGAUUAUUGCACUGAAGACACAUCUGCCACACAUAGUGAUGCUCUUAUGGCUGGACACCCUGUUGGCUCAUUGGCUGCUUGUGCGAUUUCAGAAGCUGCAUACAGUGCUUUGGAUCAGCCAGUCAGCGCACUAGAACCAUCACCUUUGUUAGCUCUAAAGAAAGUCCUGGAAUGUGGAGUGAAAAGGAGUACUGGCUUUAAGAGUGCGUCACUAUUCUUGUCAACAAGACUUCGAAGAUGGGCAAAUGGUUUGGAGUACGGAGCUUUAGAAGUCAAGGAUCAUUUGGAAAGCGUAUUUUUCUCAGACAUAGUUUCAGAAGUGAGAAUAUGUUUCUCCAGGCAGACAAAGAGCAACGCCAGCAUUAGUCCAUGGGCCUGUAUUUUUCAUAUAAACAAGGAAGUUGCCAAGAAGCGAAGGAUCAAAUUGAAAUCUGUGAUCAGAACUCUUUCCAUGAAUAAUGGAUGCACUGGACUAAAAUUUAAAAUAACUCUUCCCAAGUUGCAGAUAACAAGCCAGGUUUGUUCUGAAGCAGACAUCAACAAGACAUCUCACAACAUAAUUUACAUCUCAGCAGCAUUAACUGAAAGCCUCAAAGAGUUUUCCGACCUGGAUAUUCUUCGUGAUAUGGUGAUACCGGUCCUUCUUCGAACUGUAAUAAAAGGAUUUCCGGAAUUUAAGAAGGUUGAUAUCUUGUGGAAAGAUGAAGCAAAUCAUAAAAGAUUCUCCAAGCGCCCUUCAGGGGAACUCUUUUUGCGGGUUGUCAUGUCGGAAUACUGUGACAGGACUAAAUUCUGGAGCAUCCUCAAAGAUAAGUGCCUCAGAAUAAGAAAUAUAAUUGACUGGGAGCGGAGUCAUCCAGAUGAUAUCCAUGAUUAUAGUGAAGCAUAUGGAAUUGACACUGCCUGGCAGUGUUUUGUAAAUAGUCUGCAUUCAGCCAUCAGUGACACGGGCAAGACCAUACUUCCUGAACAUUUAGUUGUCACAGCCAAUUGCCUGUCAACGACAGGAGAAUUUCUGCCAUUAAAUGCGAAAGGCCUCUCACUUCAAAGAAAGGAAGCCAAUAUCCAAGCUCCCUUCAGCCAAGCCUGCUUUUUGAAUCCUAGUGAUUGCUUGGUAAAAGCAGCCAAGAUGGGACAAUUGGAUGCUCUUCAAGGCAGUCUUGAGGCUUUAUCAUGGGGCCAAACUCCAUCAAUUGGAACUGGUUGUCAGUUUGAUAUUAUGUAUAACGGGAAGGGACACGAACCUGAGAAACCUACAGAUGUCUACACUCUGCUGAGCAACCAUGUUAGGUGUGCUAAACCAAAUGAUGUGGCAAAGCACCUUUCUGUAAGACCGAAUGGUCUGUCUCCCAACAUAAAGCAGCGUCAAACUUUGGUUAAAAGAAUGGUUUCACAACAUUUCUCGGUGGUAGGGAUACAAAAAAUUUCACAGAGAUUAAAGCGAAUGCUAAAAGAGUAUCCUAUGAACAGCCAGUUGAAUGGAGAAGAUAAGUCUACUGCAAUGAGGGCUCUGCAGUUUCAUCCUCGUUGGGAAGAGAAGAUUGGAACUGGUGUUAUGGAUAUAAAGGUUGGCCGUCAUCCAGACCACAAAGAAAGCUGCUUUGUCCUCAUAAGAACAGAUGGAACAGAGGAGGACUUCUCAUACAACAAAUGCAUUCAUAAUGCUCUUCAGAUAGUCGCACCCGAGAAAGCAAAAGCUUACCUAUCCAGAAAGGAAAACUUAAACCGUAACCCUGAAGUUGAGGUGGGAUAGUUUUUAUGUCCGUAAAGCUAAAUAAAUUUGGCUGCUUGGGGA